rnacentral:rRNA from 1 species
GACGUAGGGCGCAAGCGUUGUUCGGAUUUACUGGGCGUAAAGGGCGCGUAGGCGGCCACCGCAAGUCGACUGUGAAAUCUCCGGGCUUAACCCGGAAAGGUCAGCCGAUACUGCGGGGCUAGAGUGCAGAAGGGGCAACUGGAAUUCUCGGUGUAGCGGUGAAAUGCGUAGAUAUCGAGAGGAACACCUGCGGCGAAGGCGGGUUGCUGGGCUGACACUGACGCUGAGGCGCGAAAGCUAGGGGAGCGAACGGG